AUAAUACUUGUCCACCACUCCUUCCACGGCCCCAUUGUCUGCCUUCUUCAAAGCCCCAAUCAAAAUCAACACGGAUUGGGCGAUCAUCAAGCAUUGUGCCACUAA
rnacentral:rRNA from 1 species